UUUCUAGUAAAAUGUUCUUUACACAAAGAAAAAACAUAUAUAAUGGACUUGUGGUUUUGCAUCUCCAUUCUUUCUUCUCUCAGAUGCCUUUCUCUGCUUCAUUCUCUCAGCCAAACGCCUCUCCUUGCAUCUCCAAUCAGAAUGUAUGGUAUUGGAGUAGUGAUGGUGAGAUAUGGAGACUUUCUGAAAGAGAUGAUUUGUUGAUAUUUUUAAAGGUGUUCAAAGUGGGCAUGUAGAUGUGUUAAAGCGGUUCAUGAGGUGGAAGGUUUAUAGACAUUGUUGCUCCAUUGUUAUUUUCAUUAACAUCAGAUUAUGUAGUUGUUUUAUGGUAGAGUUGGUGUUGAUGAUUGGACUGAUGUUUUGCUUGGAAGUUCAAAUCUUAACCAUUUACAGGGGUGGCAAGGGCCCAACCCCUAUAAUUGGAAAACUUUUAAAAUUUCAAUCACCUAAAAACUGCCUAAUUUGGCCUGACCAUUGAAUAAAUUUGUUUCUUGGUUGACUAUAGCUUGGUGUGUCAAUAGUCAAUAGCGAAAUGAAUGCUUUUAGAUUAGGAGGGAUUGAUUGUACUAAUUUAUUCUGUCUUUUUAUUCCAUUUGUUUGAGUUCUCUA